rnacentral:rRNA from 1 species
GGCGGCGUGCUUAACACAUGCAAGUCGUAACGGAGUUUUAACGGAAGUUUCGGAUGGAAGUUAAGAACUUAGUGGCGGACGGGUGAGUAACGCGUGGGUAACCUGCCUCAUACAGGGGGAUAACAGUUAGAAAUGACUGCUAACACCGCAUAAUAUAGCGAAACCGCAUGAUUUUUGCUAUCAAAUAUUUAUAGGUAUGAGAUGGGCCCGCGUCUGAUUAGCUAGUUGGUGGGUAAAAGCCUACCAAGGCGACGAUCAGUAGCCGGCUUGAGAGAGUGACCGGCCACAUUGGGACUGAGACACGGCCCAAACUCCUACGGGAGGCAGCAGUGGGGAAUAUUGGACAAUGGGGGAAACCCUGAUCCAGCCGACGCCGCGUGAGUGAAGAAGUAUUUCGGUAUGUAAAGCUCUAUCAGCAGGGAAGAUAAUGACAGUACCUGACUAAGAAGCCCCGGCUAACUACGUGCCAGCCGCCGC